rnacentral:lncRNA from 1 species
GAAGAUUGGGCCUUUUUUUAUGUUUUAUCAUUUAGCCCAUUAGCGCAACACAAUAAACAACCUAACCCUAGAAAACUAGGAUAAAUAGAGGGCUAGAGGCUCAACCUUAGUGUGCCAGAUUGAGAGGAAAACACCAUAGAGUGAGUUGUAACCCAAUUGGGAGAAUGGAAGGUGAUAGAAGUAUGCGUGGCUAAUUCUACCCUUUGGGAUUGAGAGUAAUCUACUCAAACUCUUAUGUAUUGAGGUGAUAUUUUAUAUAUUAAUAUUCAGUUCUUGAUUGAUUAUUGGUA